rnacentral:rRNA from 1 species
UACUCCUACGGGAGGCAGCAGUAGGGAAUCUUCCGCAAUGGGCGAAAGCCUGACGGAGCAACGCCGCGUGAGUGAUGAAGGUCUUCGGAUCGUAAAACUCUGUUAUUAGGGAAGAACAUAUGUGUAAGUAACUGUGCACAUCUUGACGGUACCUAAUCAGAAAGCCACAGCUAACUACGUGCCAGCAGCCGCGGUAAUACGUAGGUGGCAAGCGUUAUCCGGAAUUAUUGGGCGUAAAGCGCGCGUAGGCGGUUUUUUAAGUCUGAUGUGAAAGCCCACGGCUCAACCGUGGAGGGUCAUUGGAAACUGGAAAACUUGAGUGCAGAAGAGGAAAGUGGAAUUCCAUGUGUAGCGGUGAAAUGCGCAGAGAUAUGGAGGAACACCAGUGGCGAAGGCGACUUUCUGGUCUGUAACUGACGCUGAUGUGCGAAAGCGUGGGGAUCAAACAGGAUUAGAUACCCUGGUAGUCCACGCCGUAAACGAUGAGUGCUAAGUGUUAGGGGGUUUCCGCCCCUUAGUGCUGCAGCUAACGCAUUAAGCACUCCGCCUGGGGAGUACGACCGCAAGGUUGAAACUCAAAGGAAUUGACGG